UAAACUUUAAGUUAAGUAAACUAAAGGUCUUCAAAACCUUCAAUAAGUAAUUCUUAAGUUUAA
rnacentral:tRNA from 4 species